GACGAACGCUGGCGGCGUGCUUAACACAUGCAAGUCGAACGGGAUCUGCGUGGCCUUUGUGGUUGUGUGGUGAGAGUGGCGAACGGGUGAGUAACACGUGAGUAACCUGCCUUUUUCUUUGGGAUAACGCUCAGAAAUGGGUGCUAAUACUGGAUGUUCUGCGCUUUCCGCAUGGGGGGUGUGGGAAAGGGGCCUUUGUGGUUUCUGGAGGGAGAUGGGCUCGCGGCUUAUCAGCUUGUUGGUGGGGUGAUGGCUUACCAAGGCUUUGACGGGUAGCCGGCCUGAGAGGGUGGGCGGUCACAUUGGGACUGAGAUACGGCCCAGACUCCUACGGGAGGCAGCAGUGGGGAAUUUUGCACAAUGGGGGGAACCUUGAUGCAGCGACGCCGCGUGAGGGAUGGAGGCCUUCGGGUUGUGAACCUCUUUCGCUCGUGUGCAAGCCGCUAUUUGGGUAGUGGUGAGUGUAGCGGGUAAAGAAGCGCCGGCUAACUACGUGCCAGCAGCCGCGGUAAUACGUAGGGCGCGAGCGUUGUCCGGAUUUAUUGGGCGUAAAGGGCUUGUAGGCGGUUUGUCGCGCCUGUCGUGUAAUCCUCUGGCUUAACUGGGGGUGUGCGGUGGGUACGGGCAGGCUUGAGUGCGGUAGGGGAGAUUGGAAUUCCUGGUGUAGCGGUGGAAUGCGCAGAUAUCAGGAGGAACACCGGUGGCGAAGGCGGGUCUCUGGGCCGUUACUGACGCUGAGGAGCGAAAGCGUGGGGAGCGAACAGG
rnacentral:rRNA from 1 species